UGGCUCAUUAAAUCAGUUAUAGUUUAUUUGAUGGUUACUUACUACAUGGAUAACUGUGGUAAUUCUAGAGCUAAUACAUGCUUAAAAGCCCCGACUUUUGCGGAAGGGGUGUAUUUAUUAGAUUCAAACCAACAUUAUGUGGUGAUUCAUAAUAACUCAACGAAUCGCAUGUCCUUGCGACGGCGAUGCUUCAUUCAAAUAUCUGCCCUAUCAACUUUCGAUGGUAGGAUAGAGGCCUACCAUGGUUUUGACGGGUAACGGGGAAUUAGGGUUCGAUUCCGGAGAGAGGGCCUGAGAAACGGCCCUCACACCUAAGGGAGGCAGCAGGCGCGCAACUUAUCCAAUCCCGACACGGGGAGAUAGUGACAAUAAAUAACAAUACAGGGCUCUAUUGGGUCUUGUAAUUGGAAUGAGUACAAUUUAAAUACCUUAACGAGGAUCAAUUGGAGGGCAAGUCUGGUGCCAGCAGCCGCGGUAAUUCCAGCUCCAAUAGCGUAUAUUAAAAUUGUUGCCGUUAAAACGCGCUGAGUCGAACUUGGGCUCUCGCCGGCUGGUCCGUCAAUGACGAGUACUGGCUCGGUGGGAGCUUACUUUCUGGUGAAAACACAUGUCGUUUACUCGGCGUGUGUGGGAACCAGGACUAUUACUUUGAGAAAAUCAGAGUGUUCAAAGCAGGCGAAUGCCGGAAUGUAUUAGCAUGGAAUAAUGGAACAGGACGUGCGCUCUUGAUUCGUUGGUUUGCAGGAGCGCCGUAAUGAUGAAUAGCGGCAGUUGGGGGCAUUCGUAUUCAGCUGCUAGAGGUGAAAUUCUUGGAUUUGCUGAGGACGAACUACUGCGAAAGCAUUUGCCAAAGAUGCGCGCAUUGAUCAAGCACGAAGGAUGGGGGAUCCAAAACGAUUAGAUACCGUUGUAGUCCCAUCAGUAAACGAUGCCGACUAGGGAUUGGACAAGAAUUUUAAUGACUUGUCCAGCACCUGAAGAGAAA
rnacentral:rRNA from 2 species